rnacentral:ncRNA from 1 species
AGGGUUGGUCGAAAGACCGAGGCCCACCGUAGGCGGGGAAAGUUCCC